GACGAACGCUGGCGGCGUGCUUAACACAUGCAAGUCGAACGGAAAGGCCCUGCUUUUGUGGGGUGCUCGAGUGGCGAACGGGUGAGUAACACGUGAGUAACCUGCCCUUGACUUUGGGAUAACUUCAGGAAACUGGGCUAAUACCGGUUAGGAGCUCCUGCUGCAUGGUGGGGGUUGGAAAGUUUCGGCGGUUGGGGAUGGACUCGCGGCUUAUCAGCUUGUUGGUGGGGUAGUGGCUUACCAAGGCUUUGACGGGUAGCCGGCCUGAGAGGGUGACCGGCCACAUUGGGACUGAGAUACGGCCCAGACUCCUACGGGAGGCAGCAGUGGGGAAUAUUGCACAAUGGGCGGAAGCCUGAUGCAGCAACGCCGCGUGCGGGAUGACGGCCUUCGGGUUGUAAACCGCUUUCGCCUGUGACGAAGCGUGAGUGACGGUAAUGGGUAAAGAAGCACCGGCUAACUACGUG
rnacentral:rRNA from 1 species